rnacentral:rRNA from 1 species
GACGUAGGGCGCGAGCGUUGUCCGGAUUUAUUGGGCGUAAAGAGCUCGUAGGCGGCUUGUUGCGUCGACCGUGAAAACCCGCGGCUUAACUGCGGGCUUGCGGUCGAUACGGGCGGGCUGGAGUUCGGUAGGGGAGACUGGAAUUCCUGGUGUAGCGGUGAAAUGCGCAGAUAUCAGGAGGAACACCGGUGGCGAAGGCGGGCCUCUGGGCCGAUACUGACGCUGAGACGCGAAAGCGUGGGGAGCAAACAGG